rnacentral:rRNA from 1 species
AUUGAACGCUGGCGGCAGGCCUAACACAUGCACGUCGAGCGGAGCGGCGGACGGGUGAGUAAUGCCUAGGAAUCUGCCUGGUAGUGGGGGAUAACGUCCGGACACGGGCGCUAAUACCGCAUACUAUCAGAUGAGCCUAGGUCGGAUUAGCUAGGUGGUGGGGUAAAGGCCUACCAAGGCGACGAUCCGUAACUGGUCUGAGAGGAUGAUCAGUCCCCAUUGAACUGAGAAACGGUCCAGACGUCUACGGGAGGCAGGAGUGGGGAAUAGUGGACAAUGGGCGAAAGCCUGAUCCAGCCAUGCCGCGUGUGUGAAGAAGGUCUUCGGAUUGUAAAGCACUUUAAGUUGGGAGGCGUUACCAACAGAAUAAGCACCGGCUAACUUCGUGCCAGCAGGCGCGGUAAUAC